rnacentral:snoRNA from 1 species
AAAUCAUGGUGUGGGUAACAUGUCAACAAGUCCUUGUACCUCUCCCAUGCAUCAUACAUGCUCUCAUCUUCAAAUUGGACAAAAGAGGAAAUUACGCAUCUUUU